rnacentral:rRNA from 1 species
UACGGGGGGUGCAAGCGUUAUUCGGAAUUAUUGGGCGUAAAGGGCGCGUAGGAGGUUGAAUAAGUCAGAUGUGACAGCCCUUGGCUUAACCAAGGAAGUGCAUUUGAUACUAUUUGACUUGAGUAUGGGAGAGGGAAGUGGAAUUCCUGGUGUAGAGGUGAAAUUCGUAGAUAUCAGGAGGAACACCGGUGGCGAAAGCGACUUCCUGGACCAAUAAUGACUCUCAGUCGCGAAGGCGUGUGGAGCAAACAGG